AUUGAACGCUGGCGGAAUGCUUUACACAUGCAAGUCGAACGAUGAAGUCUAGCUUGCUAGACGGAUUAGUGGCGAACGGGUGAGUAAUAUAUCGGAACGUAUCCAUUAAUGGGGGAUAACUAGUCGAAAGAUUGGCUAAUACCGCAUACGUCCUACGGGAGAAAGCUAGGGACCUUCGGGCCUGGCGUUAAUGGAGCGGCCGAUAUCUGAUUAGCUAGUUGGUGAGGUAAAGGCUCACCAAGGCGACGAUCAGUAGCUGGUCUGAGAGGACGAGCAGCAACACGGGAACUGAGACACGGUCCAGACUCCUACGGGAGGCAGCAGUGGGGAAUUUUGGACAAUGGGCGCAAGCCUGAUCCAGCCAUUCCGCGUGAGUGAAGAAGGCCUUCGGGUUGUAAAGCUCUUUCGCAAGGGAAGAAAACUUACCCUCUAACAUAGGGUGAGGAUGACGGUACCUUGAUAAGAAGCACCGGCUAACUACGUGCCAGCAGCCGCGGUAAUAC
rnacentral:rRNA from 1 species